GGUGCGGCCGCGGCCGGCACGCCCCGCUAGUUCCUGUUUGUUUCCUCCUGAGUGGCUGUUCCCGCCGUGCUGGCUCCUGGAAGCUCCUUGAGGGGGAAAGACCUUGCUUUAACCAUCUGAAUGCUGACUUGCCAGCAAGGAAAUUGACACCAGGAGAUUCAACCACUGAAAAGCAGCUAGGGAUACCACCAAGAAGCAAAGAAAGUCAGUGAAUUUCUCCUGUAAUUGGUGUAAUAUGUUCCCUGUGGAUAACAUAUCCAAGCAGCUGCUGGAGUAAUCUUCUGUGAGCAUCUGAUUCUUCUUCUACCUACUGAGAAUUACUAUUUCUGUGGAUGUUUGUUGGCCCUCACCUUUACCUAUUAGGAUUUUACAUAAAAUGAAAGUUUCGACUCUUUAGUGAAAGAAGCCUGCUGUUGAUUCAGUUGAGCAGUUUGGAUCUACUGCACAAGAAGCUUAAAGCCACAUGAGAGGAAGUAUGGUGGAGUCCCAUCUGUAAAGAAACUAAAGAAGCUUACUUACUUCAUCUUUUGGGAUGACUCCAGAAUGGCACUUCUACAGUCUUUUGAGUUGCUGCACACAGGAAGCAAUGUUUUCUACCUUUGAGAUUUAGAUUAAACAUAAAUUCCAUGGAAACUUACCAGUAAGA